rnacentral:rRNA from 1 species
UCGAGAAUCUUCGGCAAUGGGCGAAAGCCUGACCGAGCGAUGCCGCGUGCGGGAUGAAGGCCUUCGGGUUGUAAACCGCUGUCGUAGGGAGAAAGGGUCGUUGAAGAAACGACUUUGAUCUAUCCUAGGAGGAAGUCCGGGCUAAGUUCGUGCCAGCAGCCGCGGUAACACGAACCGGACAAACGUUAUUCGGAAUUACUGGGCUUAAAGGGUGCGUAGGCGGUGCGGUAAGUGCGGUGUGAAAUCCCACGGCUCAACCGUGGAAUUGCGCUGCAUACUGCCGUGCUAGAGGGAGACAGGGGUAAGCGGAACUGAUGGUGGAGCGGUGAAAUGCGUUGAUAUCAUCAGGAACACCGGUGGCGAAAGCGGCUUACUGGGUCUCUUCUGACGCUGAGGCACGAAAGCUAGGGUAGCGAACGGGAUUAGAUACCCCCGUAGUCCCUGAGCGGGCUGGCAAGGCGCAU